GAUGAACGCUGGCGGUGUGCUUAACACAUGCAAGUCGAACGAGAAGUGAAGACGGAAACCUUCGGGCGGAAGGCUUUAUUUCGAGUGGCGGACGGGUGAGUAACGCGUGGGUAACCUGCCUCAUACAGGGGGAUAACAGUUGGAAACGACUGUUAAUACCGCAUAAGACCACCGCACCGCAUGGUGCGGGGGUAAAAACUCCGGUGGUAUGAGAUGGACCCGCGUUCGAUUAGCCAGUUGGCGGGGUAACGGCCCACCAAAGCGACGAUCGAUAGCCGAUCUGAGAGGAUGACCGGCCACAGUGGGACUGAGACACGGCCCAAACUCCUACGGGAGGCAGCAGUGGGGAAUAUUGCACAAUGGGGGAAACCCUGAUGCAGCGACGCCGCGCGAGUGAAGAAGUAUUUCGGUAUGUAAAGCUCUAUCAGCAGGGAAGAAAAUGACGGUACCUGAGUAAGAAGCCCCGGCUAACUACGUG
rnacentral:rRNA from 1 species